rnacentral:rRNA from 1 species
CCUACGGGAUGCAGCAGUCGAGAAUCAUUCACAAUGGGGGAAACCCUGAUGGUGCGACGCCGCGUGGGGGAAUGAAGGUCUUCGGAUUGUAAACCCCUGUCAUGUGGGAGCAAAUUAAAAAGAUAGUACCACAAGAGGAAGAGACGGCUAACUCUGUGCCAGCAGCCGCGGUAAUACAGAGGUCUCAAGCGUUGUUCGGAAUCACUGGGCGUAAGGCGUGCGUAGGCUGUUUCGUAAGUCGUGUGUGAAAGGCGCGGGCUCAACCCGCGGACGGCACAUGAUAAUGCGAGACUAGAGUAAUGGAGGGGGAACCGGAAUUCUCGGUGUAGCAGUGAAAUGCGUAGAUAUCGAGAGGAACACUCGUGGCGAAGGCGGGUUCCUGGACAUUAACUGACGCUGAGGCACGAAGGCCAGGGGAGCGAAAGGGAUUAGAUACCCUUGUAGUC